rnacentral:rRNA from 1 species
UACGUAUGGGGCGAGCGUUGUCCGGAUUUAUUGGGCGUAACGAGCUCGUAGGCGGUUUGGUAAGUCGGGUGUGAAAUCUCCACGCUCAACGUGGAGGGGCCACUCGAUACUGCCAUGACUCGAGUCCGGUAGAGGAGUGUGGAAUUCCCGGUGUAGCGGUGAAAUGCGCAGAUAUCGGGAGGAACACCCGUAGCGAAGGCGGCACUCUGGGCCGGAACUGACGCUGAGAAGCGAAAGCAUGGGGAGCGAACAGG